UGAUCGAUGGCUCCGCAAAACUUCCCGAAGUUACGAAACGGUGUCUGUGCGCCUUCCACUGUAAGUGUGUGUGUGUGUGUGUUUGUUUCUG